CAAUAGCGUAUAUUAAAGCUGUUGCGGUUAAAAAGCUCGUAGUUGGAUUUCUGUCAAGGACAACUGGUCCGCCCUCCGGGUGAGCACAUAGUUUGGUCUUGGCAUCUUGCUGGAAACUGUUGCUGCGCUUGGCUGUGUGGUGCAGCUUUCAGCACUUUCACUUUGAGGAAAUUGGAGUGUUUCAAGCAGGCACAUGCCUUUGGACACAGUAGCAUGGAAUAAUUAGAUUGGGCUUUUGCUCCAACUUGUUGGUUCCUGGAGCUGAGGUGAGAAUCAAUGGGGAUUGUUGGGGGCAUCCGAAUUUAGCCGUCAGAGGUGAAAUUCUUGGAUCUGCUAAAGACGGACAACUGCGAAAGCGUUUGCCCAGGAUGUUUUCAUUGA
rnacentral:rRNA from 1 species